rnacentral:rRNA from 1 species
UCGCACUAUAAACUUUGUCGCCCAAGGGGUAGUGGUAGUUACAUGAUGACACCCCUAUAACUUUGUGAGAAAUCACAAGGAUUUGGACUCUGGGGGAAGUAUGGUCGCAAGGCUGAAACUUAAAGGAAUUGACGGAAGGGCACCACCAGGAGUGGAACCUGCGGCUUAAUUUGACUCAACACGGGGAAACUUACCAGGUCCAGACACAGUGAGGAUUGACAGAUUGAUAGCUCUUUCUUGAUUUUGUGGAAAGUGGUGCAUGGCCGUUUUUAGUUGGUGGAUUGAUUUGUCUGGUUAAUUCCGUUAACGAACGAGACCUAAACCUACUAACUAGUUAAUGGUAACUUGGACUCCAUAAUAAAUUUUCAUAUGGAGACCUCGAAAUUUAUCCAAACUUCUUAGAGGGACUCUUUAUACUUAGUGAAUGGAAGUUUUAGGCAACAACAGGUCUGUGAUGCCCUUAGAUGUUCUGGGCCGCAAAA